CCUAUAAUUUUGGAUCGGUUCAGUUUGUUUUUUUGAUCCGGAUAUAAUUCUCAUGUCGAAAAGAAACUUACGUAAAAGUGUAUAUAUAAAAUCUCAAAUAAACUAAUUUGUAGAUUAUAUAGCUGUUAAAAAUUAUGUUUUUCGAUAUAAUAAAACUUUGUAUUAUAAUAUAAUCCAACAACCCCGCGCUUUUCAAGCGCGGGUCAAAAUCUAGUUUUAGUUUAUACUCACUCUUGAUACAAAUAUAUGAUGUUUCAGGUUGUUCACACGUAUUAAGAGAAAUUAAAUAUUUAUUUUUAUGUAUUACUUUUUGGUGUUUUUUUAGUUAGAAAAUAUUAAAAAAUACUUAUUUGUAUUCAAUAAAAAGAUAAAGUAUUAUAACUAAUUUAUGUAAAAGUUGAUAAAAUUUUAAAAAUGGUCCAAAUUAAAAAAUCAUGCAUGAAAAUUUCAUCACUACAGUAUAUAUAUUAACUUAAGCGAUUUAUUAUAAGAACAGUAUAUGGUUGAAUCUAUAGUAUUGUAUUUUAAAAUAUUAUAUAAUUAUCAAUACAUGUUUGUUAGCACAAUACCUAUAUAAAAAUCGAUACAUGUAUAAUCACUACUAUAUAAAAGAGACUAUUUUAAGAGCUCCUAAACUAUGCCACAUAGAUACAAAUAUUCCUGACCAAUUAAAAUGACAACUCAGCAUAAAGUUUAAGAAAAUCAGUAAAAAGUAAAAGUAAAUCUGUAAAUCGACCAUUCUCCUCCUUAUCGAUUCAGUUUUUCCAGAUUUAGAUCAUACAUACCUUCUCAACUUCUUCUCAAUCUCUACCAGUUAACUUUUUCACUAUUUCAUAUUAACAUUUUCCAAAUCCUUUUCAAUCUCUUAUUUUGGCUCCCCCCCCCCUUCAUUCGUAUCUUCCAAGAAAAUCCAUAGCUCUUGGUUUUAAUUUCGGUGUUAUAGAAUUUUUAUUCCGUUCUGUGUUUUUUUUGGCUACAAAAUCUAUUCUAAUUUGAAAUUGAUCUACACCAGUGAGGAUCAGAGAUGAGUCCGAAAUGAAGGUGAACACGAAACUUAACAAUGAAAGAGUGACCUUAUGAACUUCAGAUUAAGGUUGAUGAUAAGACCGGUUCAAAUCUCCGAUGCUUACUUUAGACCUUUGGGUGUCGCUCCGCUAUGGCUUCUUCAUCUGUCAGUAUGUUCACCGUCUAUAUUCUAUCGCGUAUAUAUUUAUGUAUAUAUAUAGAAAUAUAUAUGUUUAAUCGACAAUUUAGAAACUUUGGGAAAAAAAUUCCUUUCCAAUGAUGUCUUAUGUUUUUGACUGAAUGGGUGAAAGUCAAAGCUAUCAAGGAAAUCCUAACCAUUAUGAACACGUAAGUUCCCUUUCUUUAUUUCUUACAAGUUACAAAUGUUGUUAUGAUCUGUUAUAAACACUAUCGGAGAUAAAAUUGAUUUUUUUCUUUCAGUUCGCAUUUUGAAGGCAUUGAAUAGUACUUUUGAGUUGUUGCGUUACGUGAACUUUUGGUGUCUAAUUGGUUCACUCUUUUAUUGUUGACUAUUGACAUGCAAUUGUUGAUGAAGACUGCUGCUUUGGGACAAAACUGUUAGAGAACGCCUUCGACGACUUUGGUAGCCCAUUACUCUAUUUGAGGAACAGGAAAUGGAGAGAAGAGGUGGGUUGGCUCGGCUUAUGGCUAGGCUUGAUAUUGGCGGCCAGUUGGAUAAACUGAUUUUUUUAAUCUUCAUGUGACUCAAAUAGUUUUCUACUAACUUGUGCGUGCAAAUAUUCAGUUCUUUCAAAAGUUAUUUUGUAAUAUAGUAAUUUACUUAAGAUAGAUAUGCUGGCCACUCCUGGUAGAUACCUAGCUUAUGACGAUCUUGACUUUUUCCUUCCCAUACGUUUGUUGACAAUUUACCUAUCUAUAUUGUGUUGCAGAUAAUUUAUAGUAACAUGUAUUUGUUGCACGAGAUCACUAGGAGACUUCCAGCUAAGACCAAAAAAAGCUCUUAACAAGUUCUCCUCUAUUUGACAUGUGGCGAAGAUAAGCUAUUUACAAAUUAUCCUCUACUUCUUCUGGUAACUAUGAAACUAAUUAGUUUAGAAUUCAGCUUAUACAUUUUGAGGAAGUAUGUCGGAUAUUUUGUAUAUUGUUCUUAGCUUAUCACUAUAUAGCCCUUGCUCUGACCAUUAUAUUUUCACAUAGGAAAACUGUAUUGGAUGAAACUUUGAUUUUUAUUUAUAUAUUUUAUUAUUUAUGUUUAAAUAUUUAGUUUAGUGAGGCCUAUAAACUGUAUAAUUGAUGAACUCAUCCAAACUUUACUAACAAUCUCAUUCAAAAUUAAUAUCUAGAAUUUUUGGAUGGAUUAUAAUUUGCAUUUGAUUACUUAAUCCAGCUCAUGCAAGUCAUCAAAUCAAACUUUUACAUCCAUUGCUAGAACAAUACAAACCAGCUAUUCAAGGAUUUUUUUUCUGGGAGUUACAUCAUGAAUGAUCUUCAUUAUUGUCAGGAACCAAACACAAGGGGCAUAUUUUUGCUCCGUAUACACAAGCGGGUUAUCGACUUCUUCAGCUCUUUGGAUGUAGUGAAGCAGAUCACUUCAAUCACUAUUGAGCAUGGUACUGAAGACAAGUUCAACACAUCUGAUUCUUAGUGCAUACGUGGUUUAGUUUAUAAAUUGUCUUUGAAUUCCUACGACUUUGUCCUUUUUUGUUACAAGGUUCAGACUUCGUCUUCACUUUCUAAACCAAUAAGUGGCUGGAUCUUAAAGCCAUAGCCAAAAAAGUAAAAACAAAAACAUUAUGUAAUAUUCAGUACAACUUAUAACUAGAUGAUUGACCAACCCAAAGAUUAACAUAAUAAAAACAGUUUUGAGUUGAACUUAUUCUUAGUAAUAUUAAAAGAACUAUUUUCCUUGAUUUUUAAGCCUUCCAUGAUUAUAUAAAAAUAAUAUAAUAAACAUAAUUAUAAUGUCAAAUUUAUUGUUAAAAUUUGCUACAUAUAAAACUCUCAGUAGCACAAUAAAACAUAAUAGUUCAUGUACCAAUACUCUACUAUGACAAACUCGAAAACAAUUUAUAGUACCUAAGAAUGAUUCCUUAUAGUAUCCAAACAAUAAAUCUCAUUUAGACGUGUUAUAUAGAACAUUGGUUGUGGCUGUAGAUGCUCUAGAAAGCCAAAAUUUGGUUUAAAGCCAUACAUGUCAACCAAUCAUGUUUUCUUUUUCUUUUAAAAAGCAACAACAAAAAUAUCUCUAAAAAAUAAAAAAGGACUGUAGAAAGCUUUAUUUCUAGAGCAAAAAAUAAUAUUUUACAAAGCUACAACAAAAAUAGUCACAGCAAAUAAAUCUACAGCUACUAUUCUAAAGCAAAAAAAGUAAAAACAACAGCACUUACCAAUCACUCCAUAGUAAACUAUUUACUUAUUUUCUUUCAUUAUUACAGAUAAACGUUUCUUUGUAACAACACUAAGAACUUGCUUCUACUUUGACACCAACAACACUGACAUCAUAAAAAGGAUUUAUGUGGAGUAACAAACUAAGCCCCAUACAUGAAGUCAUCGCUCUACUUUCGGUCCAACGAAGAUAACUUUCAAAAACACUCAAAAUAAAAACAAUAUAUUAUGUUCGUGUAACCAUCAUGUACUAUGAAAAAACAUAUUGUAUGUUUUAUAAAAUCUAUUUCAUAAAUUUUUGGUAUUCGGACAACAAAAUUUCGUUGCAAUAAAACUUUAUAACCAAUUAUCCGCGCGUAGCGCGGACAACGACCUAGUAUAACUAAUAAUAAUAACAUUUAUUACGCAAAUACAAUAGUGCUAGGAUUUUUAAUAUUUGAUUCAAUUUUAUUAUUUGCAAGGUAAAAUUCUAACAUUAUUAUAUUUGCAUAAUAAAUGUUAUUAUUAUUAUUAGUUAGAUCAUAUACAAGUAUAAACUCUAGAAUAAUUAAAUGUUAUUAUUAUUAAUUAGACUAGGGUCGGUGUCUGCGCUUCGCGCGGAUUACAUGUUUAAUAAAAGUCCAGUUCAAUUAAAAUUGAGAGUUGUGAAGUUUCUGAAAGGAUAAGUUAUGUUUUGUUUA